rnacentral:rRNA from 1 species
UUGCCUCAGUAACGGCGAGUGAAGCGGCAACAGCUCAAAUUUUAAAGCUGGCGUCUUCGACGCCCGCGUUGUAAUUUGGAGAGGCAUCUUCGGUUUGGGCGCCAGCCUAUGUUCCUUGGAACAGGACGUCACAGAGGGUGAGAAUCCCGUGCUUGGCUGGCUGUCCCUUGCCAUGUGAAGUGCCUUCGACGAGUCGAGUUGUUUGGGAAUGCAGCUCAAAAUGGGUGGUAAAUUCCAUCUAAAGCUAAAUAUUGGCGGGAGACCGAUAGCGCACAAGUAGAGUGAUCGAAAGAUGAAAAGCACUUUGAAAAUAGAGUUAAAAAGUACGUGAAAUUGUUGAAAGGGAAGCGCUUGAGACCAGACUCGGCCGGAGAUGAUCAGCCGUCCUUCUGGGCGGUGCACUUGUCUCCGGUCGGGCCAGCAUCGGUUGAGACGGCGGGAUAAAGGCCCGGGGAAUGUGGCUCCUUUCGGGGAGUGUUAUAGCCCCGGACGCAAUGCCGCCAGCCUCGACCGAGGACCGCGCUUUUUGCUAGGAUGCUGGCGUAAUGGUCUUCAGCGACCCGUCUUGAAACACGGACCAAGGAGUCUAACAUCUAUGCGAGUGUUUGGGUGUCAAACCCUUGCGCGUAAUGAAAGUGAACGGAGGUGGGAACCCCCU